GGUCAUGGGAAUCAUCUAUAAAUAGAGAGGGUCUCUACUUAUGGAUGCAUAGCAAAUAAAUCAGAUUGGGAGAAAAGAAAAAGAGAGAGAGAGGCGUGAGAAGAGAAAAGCCCUUCCUUCUCCCUUGGCAUCUCCCUUGUAAAUGCCCCCUUUCUCUUUGGUGUGGGACCCAUCUUGGUGUCCCCUUUAUUGGUGUGAGGUGUCACACUAGCACCUCUCCUUCCUCGUUUAAUUGGGUUGCGAAGGUGAUUUGAUUGAAAUUCUUUCCA
rnacentral:lncRNA from 1 species